ensembl:piRNA 21ur-3550 ncRNA
UCGACCUAUAAACCUUUGUGU